rnacentral:misc_RNA from 1 species
UCGUACUCUCCUGAUCCUUUGACUUGACAAACACAUGCGUUCCCUAGUGGAACGCUUCGUGCUCCAGCGCGGGCAAUCAGUGCACAAGUAAUAAACCGCCGCUGACACUUGGUACCCGAGAUGCGGAUGAGGUACGCGAUACAGUGAGGUAAGAGCGAUAAGAGGACAUUACGCUCGAGGUAAGCCGGUGGCGCAGCACGGGGGUGCCCAGCGCUGGCAGCCGGCACCAGCCAGACGCACGCGGUUCAGUCCCUGCGGGUCGUCCACGCGGGCUGCACCUCCGACGCUCCGGCGCCGCGCGCUCUGUCACUGCGAUACGGCGGUCGUCUGAAAUAAUCGCAUUCGGAGAGAAGCUAGACUUGUACUGAAAUUGUUCAUGCGCAUGUCGUAAACUAGAGUGAAUUGAUGUAUACUGUGUGUCUAUGAAAUUAACCAUACGUAUAUCUUCAUAUAUAUACUUAUUCUUAUUUGUAUGCAGACUGAUUUAUGUCUGUCAAAUGAGAGUGGAACUUUACGUUUUUGAGAGAAGUACCUAUUUUUCAGGCUGGCAUGAGCAUGUUUAAUAGGUCUUGUUAUUUUCUCUAUAAAGUUUUCAGUUUUUUUUUUCUGAUGUUAACACAGUCAUAUUCAAGUACUGCGCGACAACCUGGGAUGCUAUCCAAGCCAUGUCAUCUCCGUGAUAGGAAGUGCCAGUGUUUUUUGUAUGUGAAGACCGCUCUGCACUGAAAGUCUUAUUAUUGAGCACGAAUAUUGGGAUAAUCAUCAUGUGUUCUUGAAGACUGCGAUUUUUAUUCGUUUUGAAAUCAAGUGUGGCUCAGAAUACAAAGAUUAAUUCACACCAUGUUUUAACUGCAUAGUGGUAUGUAAGACAAAACCCAGUAAUUUCUCCUUGAGUCAAUGUAUGUUAUAUCAUUGAAGCAAAUGGACGCCUAUAACAUGUAGCACAGUAGAUAAACUACCGAUGCCUGUGAAUGAAACGUCCACGAGACAUACAGAAGAAUGAGAAACAGAACAAGCCAAUGAAGCGAGGAAGGAAACAGAGGGAGGAGGCGAGGCCAUGGUCGCCCUGGUGAUUGAGAGUGUCGCGGGAUCCUCAAACUCCGCCACAAUGGCAUGUUCAGUGUCGCAGUUCUGUAAGGGUUGUUGCGCGCGCGUGGCCGGCAUGAGCUUCUCUCGCCUCAAGCUCCGUGACCCCCGCGAGCUGCUGGCCCAGCCCUCCGACUCCAGCGCGUCUGUGCAUGCAAUGGCAGACGCUGCGACGACUCCCGCCACUCCUACGACGCCUUCCACAUCAGCUGACCAGCCGCCUGCGCUUCAGUCUCCGGUCGCCCAGUCGGCGCCCGCGCAGCCACCUGCAACAGAGCUGCACCCAGCGCCGCCAGCCGCCAGGGCCCCUCUCCCGCCGCAGUCGCCCCCGGGCCCUCCCGAGGCGCAGCCAGACGCCCCUCCAAGCGCCACCAGCGAGCGCCGGGACGCCGAGCCCGUGCCCAAGAAGCGCCGCCUACUGGAGGCCUCGGAGGCCUCAGACGUGCAGGAGACCUCAGCUCCCGCCAAGCCGCUUAGUGACCCCCAGGACAUCCUGGCGAAGGCGUGCUUCGCCGUGGGCAUCGACUCCGACUUCGCCGAGAGCGUGGUGGAGGACCCACUCCCGCCGCCGCAGCAGGGCUCCCAGCUGCCGCCGCAGCCACACGCGGAGGGCGUCCACUACGUGCAGGGACUCCGCCCGCCCUACCCUGGCGUGCCCGCCGACGUGAGGCUGAGGCAGCCUGAGGUGCGCCUCCACCCCGGAAUGCCCCACCCGGCCUCCGUCAACGGAUCCUACCCGAUAGCGGAAGCCCGCGUGCAGUACCACCAGUUUCCUCCCCGCUUCCACGAGCCGCCCUUCCCGCUGCCGCGCCGGGUGCCCGUGCAUGCCGACCCGCGCCACUGCCACCCGGGCCCGCCGCAGCCCAGGUACCAGUACGUGGCCUACCCGAGGGGCGUCCCACCGCCCAGGACCAUCCUGGUGUCAGAGCGGGUCCCUCCCCCGCACCAUUCUGUCAUGCAUCAUGACCCGCGCCACCCGCGCCCCCCGGCCGUGCAGCACGACCCCCGCGCGCCGCCGCCCGCCGCCAUGCACCACGCCCCGCGCCACCCGUCCCCGCGCCACCCGUCCCCGCCCGCGCUGCAGCACGACCCCAGGCUCCCUCCGCCGGACUACCGCCAUGCGCCGCGCGUGGUUCCCGAGGCGAGGCACAUGGCACCCGGGCAGACGGAGGUGCGCUACAGGGUGCCUAUCAACCACCACGAAGUUACCAUCGUGGCGCCGGUGGGGCCCGCCUCCUUCGUGCCCGCAGACGGCAGCCGCCCAGGGCCUCCGCGACCCAAGCUAGAGCGGCCUCACCCCUACGAGAUGUACACGCCGCCCCCCGGGUCAGCGCACUCCCCGAAGGAGGCUCCUUACGCUCCCAUUAGUCCCCACGCCCAUCCGGGGAAUCCCCACUACGGGCCUCCGCGCGUGGUGGACAGAUACAACAAGCACCCUUACGGUCGCGCCGAGAUGAGUCGAGAGUCAGGUCCGUGGCACGAGCAGGCGACUCCUCCCCCUCAGCAGUCGCCCGAAGCCCGGCCUCGGCCUCCAGAGCCCGUCCGCUCGCCGUACGCCAGCCCCCAGGAAGGCGCUUGGGCGGCGAAGCGGUAUCCCGACAGUCAGGACAAGGCGGGCGAGUUCAUUCCCCCGCAGAGACUGAGGGAACCGAAGCCGUGCGUCGAGCUCAUUCCGCUGAGACUCCCAGCCAACCAGGAGAAGGAGAGGAAGAUCGGAAGCGAAGGAAACCCAGUUCCGUCUAGUCCAGGGCCUCCUCAGAAGCACCAGGCGGCAACGCCCAUAAGCCCUGCCACGGUCACGCCCGUUAACCGCAAGGCGUCUGAAAAGGGAGCUCCGGCCGAAAAAUAUGCACGGAUUAAUACUCCUGACGACGACGAAAUUCAGGAAGCUUCUCAGGGCAAUGGUGGUCUCCAGUUUCCAUCAGGCUUAACUGUGACGGAGGCAGCGGCACCGCCUCCAGCACACCACAACGCAGCUGCGAAACGAGAGAACUCCAAGGACGUUUUUGUCUGUCCAGAAAAAUCUGACGAGUCUGGUAAGCGGUUAUACAGUGAUUCAGAUAAAGCAGGAAUCGAACAGGCUCAUUCUGAACUCCGGAAGACAUCAGAAGACUCCACGGAACAGAACAGCAAACGGCCAGAGCCCCAAGAGAACUCCAAAGAAAACACGCUAAAAUCAGCAGCAGCAUUGGAACUAACCGGCAAUAAAGACGAAACCCUUGACAUGAAACAAGACAGAGUUGCAGCUUCGAAACGACAAGCAGAAAACGGUGACCCUCAUCCAGAGAAGGAGGAAGGACUUCAACAUCGAAGUUUACCCAAUGAUUUACGCGUUUUGGAACAAUAUAAUAGCCUCCACAGCUCCUACUACGUGAGUCAGGGCAGAUCAGCUUCUGAGCCUCCACCUGGAGCAUUAGGUCCCUCUGCGAACCUCACAUCGGCCAUGAGACCAGCAUCGCUCCCCGCCGCCACUCAAAUAUCCGUCUCAAACCCCCCUCCGAACAGGGACUCCGCGCCCCCCGACAACCUGGAGAUGAACGGGAGAGCGAAAAUAUCCACGGAGGAUAAUCACGAUAACGACGAAGUUUUCGUUGAGCGCCUGAGAUUCGUAUUGGAUGACCUUGUGUCCGUUCCCGAAGCCACGCUGCCCAAGGCGUCGAGGUCCCCACAGCAGGUGUUAGCAUACCUCGUCAGGCAAGGAGGAGCCAAGCCGUCCGAACAUCCUUGUCAUCGGGAGAGACUUAGAGAAGACUUUCUAACCAUGGUUAAGCGGUACAUGCCGGGCAGCACCAUAGCGGACUGGGGCUGGGACUCUUGCUCGCCGGAGCAGAUCCUGGACCAGCUGAUCAAGGUGUCCACGGGCGGCGACGAAGGCAUCAACGGCGGCGCCCGUUCCUCCAGCACCGCCUCUGCCAUGCAGGACGACCCUCUCGAGGACGACGUCUUCACCUCCUCCAGCGACGGUCCUCAGGCUCCGAGAACCGCACCGGUCCCCCACGCCCACCCUCGCCCCAGCCCCCCAAUGCCUCCCGCCCACACAGCGGCGCCACCCACGCCGAAUCCUCACACCUCGACGCCGCCCAGCGCUAGUAGUUCCCAAAGCUCAGCGCCAUCCACGGUGACGACAGGCGCUGGAAAUCCAAAGGAGGAAGCCGCCCAGAACAGUGCGCUGCGGCCCCCCGUUCCCCAAAGCUCAGUGCCUCCUACUCCAGUCCCGGUCACUUCGCCGUUAGCAGCACCUACAUCUCACGCAUACAGUGCCACUGCUCCAUACCAACACACAUCCCCUUCCCAGACGAGUCCACGUGUCCCCACAUCUCAUGCAGCGUUUCCCCACACAACUCCCGCUAAUGCAAAGACUCAGCACGUGCCUUCUCACACAAUGGCCCCACAUACAUAUCCAGUCCACACAACAACUGCACACGUUCCUACCAGUUCCCCAGCAACUUUGUAUACAUCUAAUAGAGACCCAACAGCCCAGCAUGUAUCUACCACCCUGACAAGCAUUACGCACGUCCAUUCUAAUGAUGCAAGGGUAACGAAUGCAUCUACCGGUUCCCUAACAGCCCCACAUGUAAGCUCUACCUACACAAGUGCUCCACUGGCAUAUCCAAAUCACACAACUACUGCACAGGUAUCAACAACGUAUACAACAAUUCCACACUCGCUUCCCACCACAACGCAGGCCUUGCACUCGCCCGCCAUCUACUCAGCGGCCCAACACAUGCACCACCUCCAGAGGUCUGCCUCAGCGACGGUCACACCAGACGCUUAUCAGGACGACAAACGAUACUCUGCCUCUCGCUCGGUCGUUCCUCAGCCUGUCACCUCAGUCCCUUAUUCUGCUCCUUCAGUGCCUUCCGUUGCCCAGUCUUUGGUCUCUCACUCUGUUUCCUCGGCCCCGCAUUCCUCCUCUUCGUCCCCGUAUUCUGCCCAUGUAGUCCCUCACUCUGCUGCAUCCGUCCCUCACUUUGCCCCAUCAGCUCCUCAUUCCACCCCUUCAGGUCCUCACUCCGCCCCAUCAGCUCCUCAUUCUGUCCCCCCAUCUCAUCGCCCCGCCCCCCCGGCCCCUCACCCAGCGCCCUCCGUCCCGCACGCCUCCCCGAGCCACCUCCCCGCCCCCCAAGUGCCCCAUCCCGCCUCCACGAGGGACCCGCACUUCUCGUCCCGCGACCGAGUCCCUUCCCACGGCGCCCACGCUUCGCCGUCACUGAUGUCGUCCCGCGGUGCCCCCUACCCACCCUCCGCCCACCCGCCUCCGAUGCGGCACUCCGGCCACCCACACCUCGCCCCUGCCUACCAGGCCUACAACCACCACGCAGCCGUCCACCACCCGGGCGGCCGUGUGCCUCACCCCAGCGCCCACUCCGCCAGCGUCCACCCGCCGCCCGUGCUUAUGCCAGCCGGCCAGAGCGCCCACUACCCCCGUCAGCCUCACCACCUCGCCUACCACCACGCCCAGCAUCACGCCCACGCCCACUACCAGUACGCCCAGCCGCAGGUGCAUUCCACAAAGAAGUGGACGGGUUAGUGGUGUCAGUAUCGAGAAUAUGGUGAGGUCAGCUGUGUAUGCUGCCCUGAACACUCGUGCCCCGUCGACCUGAACUGGGCUGCGAUAAUAUUAUUUGGUUAAUCGAGACCAGUGCAGUAUCUCCUCCUGUCUGAUAUCCAGUGGCAGUGAAAGGAUUCGAUCCCACCAAGUCAGUGUCAGUGAUGGCGAUGGAGACUUUGAACCUCUAAAACAAUACCUGAUGAAACAAAAUCACGUGAGAAAUAGAGGAAAAAAUAGAGAAAAAAACAAUGGAAGACACAGUGAUGAUUUUAUCUUCUUACAUAAUCAUUUUUCUUCUUCUUUUUUCAAGUAAAGAAGUAAAAACACGUGGUGGGAAAAAAAAUCACUAUGAAAAAAAAAAAAAAAGUUUCAGUACCUUCGCCCGGGAAAGUCUCAUAAACUGGCGGCAAAGUGGGAAAUGUGCUCGAGAAACUUCUUUUAUUUUAGCACAAGAAAAUGGAUGCUUAAUACUUCACUACGUGACUUUCUGACUUUCCAGGAGUGUGUUUUGUGACGCAGAGAAAUGGCCUGCAUACGUGGAAUAAAUGACAAUUGAGACCUUUUCUCUCUCCAACUUUUUUUUAUGUCUAUCAACCCGCCAUUUUGUGUCUUAUCUCUAUAUCAAUCAGCCAAUCUCUAUGUCUGAUCUAACUAUUAAGCACUCAGCCAUUCUGUCUCUCUGACUACACCUAUUCUCUUUAUUGGUCUGUUUAUAUCUCUUUCAAUUUCGCUAUUUUUUAUAUUUCUGGCUAAUCCUAUAUUUCUAUCUCUUUACCGAUUUCUUUAUUUUUCUACCUAUCUCUUUACCUAGAUAUUUAUUUUUAUAUCUAUCUCAGGCCAAAUCUAAUUAUCUAUCUCUUUAUUAAUGUUCUGCCUGUCUCUUGACUAAAUCUAUUUAUCUACCACGUCAUCGAACUAUAGAUCCGUUUAUCUAUCAAUCUGUUUUUCUAUCUAUCUCUAAGUAAAAAUAUUUACCUAUCUUUUUUCCUAUCUAUUUAGUUUUCUAUCCAUCUCUGUAUCUAUCUUUGACAAAACCUACACAUAUAUCACUAAACCCAUAUAUAUACAUCGAUCUAUUAAUUUUUCUACCUCUCUCUGACUAAAUCUAUUUAUCUACCACGUUAUCGAUCUCUCUAUCCGCUUAUCUCCCCCCCCCCUCCCCUCCCCCCCAAGACUUCACCUAUUCUGCAAACCUUCAACAGUAUACGGGUAAAAAUUAUAGCCGGGAAUAUUCCCACGAGACGCUAAAAUGUGAAAUUUAACCAAAUGAUUUAACAAUUUAGCAGUCGAUGUUAACUUUUUUUUCGGUCAAUAAAUGUGAUUUUAGGUUUAAGAGCUAUUGGUGGAAUGGGCAUUAAAGUGCCCGUGUUGGGAUAAACGUGACUGCAGAGAUAGCAUGAAAAUAUGUGAUUUAAAUGGAGAGGCUAAGCAAUGGAAAUGCAGUCAUAUUUAAUCAUGUUAUAUCUUCGGCCUUAUUUUGGGUCUUACACAUAUGUGUGUGUGUGUAUAUAAUAGCAGGUUGUAUGUGCCUGUUUAUGAGUGUUUUUGCUCGUAUGUAUGUGUCUGAUAAAUAAAGAGAAAAGUGUGUAGUUGUGUAGUGUGUAGAAAGAAAGAAAAAAAGAAAGAAAGAGAGAGCGAGAGAGAGAGAGAGAGAGAGAGAGAGAGAGAGAGAGAG